rnacentral:rRNA from 1 species
UACGUAGGGGGCGAGCGUUGUCCGGAUUUAUUGGGCGUAAAGAGCUCGUAGGCGGCUUGGCAAGUCGGGUGUGAAACCUCCAGCUCAACCUGGAGACGCCACUCGAUACUGCCAUGGCUAGAGUCCGGUAGGGGACCACGGAAUUCCUGGGUGUAGCGGUGAAAUGCGCAGGAUAUCAGGAGGAACACCGGUGGCGAAGGCGGUGGUCUGGGCCGGCACUGACGCUGAGGAGCGAAAGCGUGGGUAGCAAACAGG